UACGUAGGGUGCAAGCGUUGUCCGGAAUUAUUGGGCGUAAAGAGUUCGUAGGCGGCUUGUCGCGUCGACCGUGAAAACUUGGGGCUCAACCCCAAGCCUGCGGUCGAUACGGGCAGGCUCGAGUUCGGUAGGGGAGACGUGGAAUUCCUGGUGUAGCGGUGAAAUGCGCAGAUAUCAGGAGGAACACCAAUGGCGAAGGCAGCUCGCUGGGACGGUAUUGACGCUGAGACGCGAAAGCGUGGGGAGCAAACAGG
rnacentral:rRNA from 1 species